UUAUUUAUUUAUUUAGUGAGGAAGAUUGGCACAGUGUUAGCUCAGUGACAGUUUUGUGAGGAAGAUUGUCACUGAGCUAACACUGUGCCAGUCUUCCUCUAUUUUGUAUGUGGGAUGCC
ensembl:miRNA